AUGAGUCUUCCCCUGACUUUAGUCACGGAAGGAACGUUUAAGACGAAGACGUGGAUAGGCUGGGUGUGUAAGUGCAGCGAUGCAUUGAGCUGACCAGUACUAAUGAACCGAGAGGCUUAACCUUACAACACCGAAGGUGUU
rnacentral:rRNA from 1 species